CACACUGGGGCCUGUCAGGGGUGGGGGGCUGGGGGAGGGAUAGCAUUAGGAGAAAUACCUAAUGUAAAUGACAGGUUGAUAGGUGCAGCAAACCACCAUGGCACGUGUAUACCUGUGUAACAAACCUCCACAUUCUGCACAUGUAUCCCAGAACUUAAAGUAAAAAAAAAAAAAAAAAAAACCUUUGUUUACAUUUAAAAAAAAAUCCCAGUGACUCAGCACAGUGAGCGAGGAGCACAAUAGGGUGGUUACCCAGACAGGACGUCCAUCUAGGAGCCCUGCGGGAGGCAUGCAGGUAUUUCUCUGGAGGUCAUGCCUGGCAGGCGUCCACUGUUAGAGCCAGAGGACCCGGAGCAUUAUCUGAAUGAACUAAUGACCAACAGGCGGGCAGAAAUGAGUGCUGCGGAUUGAUAACAGGGACAGCCAGACCCCCUCCCAUCCCCACGAGGCAGAGGCACCAGGGAACAACUGCAGAGUUCUGACUACUCAAUCACAGUGCAAUGAGUAAUGGAAGGCUACGUAGUGGCAAGAAUUGAAAAGAAGACCAGGCGCAGUGGCUCACGCCUGGAAUCCGAGCACUUUGGGAAGCCAAAGCAGGAGGAUUGCUUGAGCUCAGGAAUUCGAGAGCUUGAGACUAGCCUAAGCAACAUAGCCACCUGGCUUUCCCACACAUCAACCUCGUGCUCACACCCCACUCUGGAGACCACCAGCUUCGAGGCAAAAAGAGAGAACGACGUACAAUGGGGUAAAGCCUCCAUGUGUAGGCGAUGUUGUGAGGAAAGGGUGGCCGGUUGGAAGGGAACAUUUUUAAAUUGAGGUUAUUGUUUAUAUUUUCUCAUAAACAGCUUCUCUGUGGCCACAAGUUAUUUCGGUCAUUUUCACAGCUUCCUCAGAUAUCUGGAAAACCUUUCGACUCAUUAUUAAAAAAUAAAACAAGAUUACUUACUAAAACUUGGCCAAAAGCAUGGAAGAGCCUCCUUUUCAGAAAAUGACAGGAAAGUAGAUUUCUUAUCUAAAAGAGAAAUAUUAGGCUGGGCACAGUGGCUCACACCUGUAAUCCCAGCACUUUGGGAGGCCAAGGCAGGUGGAUCACCUGAGGUCAGGAGUUUGAAACCAGCCUGAAUAUGAUGACACCCCGUCUCUACGAAAAGUACAAAAAUUAGCUGGGCUUGGUGGCGGCCACCUAUAGUCCCAGCUACUCAGGAGGCUGAGACAGGAGAAUUCCUUGAACCCGGGAGGCGGAGGCUGCAGUGAGCCGAGAUCGCGCCACUGCACUCCAGACUGGGCAACAGAGCAAGACUCUGUCUCUAAAUAAAUAAAUUAAUUAAAUCGAAUUAAAUUAAAUAAGAGAAAUAUUAGGUUGAAAUCCUGUUCCUUAUGGGUCAAGCUAAUUCUUUUCAGUAUAUUAAAUAAUUUUUUUCCUUCUAUUUUUUUCCCUUUCCUUUCCAAAUCCCCCAGCAUCUUCCCUCAUCCACCCCAUUUCAAAGAGGGUUCUGCUUGCAGGAACUCAAAGCUCAGAGCUUUUAGCUUCCCAAAGCCCUAUUUCCAAACUAAAGCAAAGGUCCUUUAGAAUUUGCACGGCGGGCUGUGCAAAAUGAGAGAGAAGGAAAUCGCUGGCAGAAAUAUCCCCGAAGAAGGGAUUUCUCCCCCAAAGACCAGAAAGCAAUUCUUCUAGGUUAGGGGAAUGAGGAGACAUACAGAGAAAACAAGAGGCUUGGGAGUUCCUCAUGAAAGGACUGGACCUGGAGUGGCCAUGCAGGAGAGGUGCAAGGGACUUGGAGCCCCUGAAGCUUCAGGAGAGCUGCGUGGCCCAUGUCCUGCUGCACCGGCAGCCAUCACGCCCAUGAGCCCUGCCUGUGUCCAGAAACAGUGCUGCUGUCCUUGACCUCGUCACUCUGCAAGGACUUCGCUUCCCCAGCAGGCAGUUCACCUCUGGAUACCCCUCCCUGAUGCAAACUUUGCUCAUGUCAUGUCUAUCAAGAUCAAGAAAAUGGAGCCCAUAACUGAGAUCAGCACAUGGGUAAGGAAACUGCUGAAUGGAAGGAGCUCCAAGACCUGGAACUGAGACCGAAGCUGGCAACAUGGCGGGAUGUUGCACCCCCCACACACACGCUCACACGUGGUUUUCAUUCCUUCUUUCAUAUUACGGCGGGCGUGGAAUUACCAGUCAAUUUGACAUUUAUAAAUACAUUAACUAGCGCUUCCAAUUCUUCUCCUGCUUCCAAGUUUGUUCUCACCACCUCACAGAAAAUGCUGGGGACAGAAUUAAAUGCAGAGUAAUCUAAACAAGCUUUGAUAUGUCAUAUGUCUUUCCUACUGAAUAAGCUAAACCAACCAGGGUAAUUUAGUGAUACUUGGGCAAGAAAACUAGGAAUUACGCACACUUUCCUUUUCCAAAUUCCCCACAUGGAAGUCUGUGAAUUCUACUGCAAUUACAGUGGUAUAAUAAAAAAGAUAUGCUUGGCUUUUGUUCGUGUUCUUGGCAUAGACUUCCUAAAACCCUUGCAAUUCCUUGAGUGAUAGGAGUGUCUUUUGUUAUUCAUAAUGAGCCCUUUUCAAUUAUACCUGGGAUUAUGUGAGUGAAGUGGCUCUUGGCAGGACCCCUGGAUUGCCUCAGGAUGGGGGCUGGUUUGGUUGCCAGAGGAACCAAGCAUAUGAUUAGAGGGUAGAAAUUUUCACCAUCAUCCCCCCACCUCGGGGGAUAG
rnacentral:lncRNA from 1 species